UACGUAGGGGGCAAGCGUUGUCCGGAAUCAUUGGGCGUAAAGAGCGUGUAGGCGGCUCGGUAAGUCCGCUGUAAAAGUCCAGGGCUCAACCCUGGAAAGCCGGUGGAAACUGUCGAGCUAGAGUACUGCAGGGGAGACUGGAAUUCCUGGUGUAGCGGUGGAAUGCGCAGAUAUCAGGAGGAACACCGGUGGCGAAGGCGGGUCUCUGGGCAGUAACUGACGCUGAGACACGAAAGCGUGGGUAGCAAACAGG
rnacentral:rRNA from 1 species